rnacentral:rRNA from 1 species
AUUGAACGCUGGCGGCAUGCCUUACACAUGCAAGUCGAACGGUAACGCGGGGCAACCUGGCGACGAGUGGCGAACGGGUGAGUAAUGUAUCGGAACGUGCCCAGUAGUGGGGGAUAGCCCGGCGAAAGCCGGAUUAAUACCGCAUGAGACCUAUGGGUGAAAGCGGGGGAUCGCAAGACCUCCCGCUAUUGGAGGGGCCGAUAUCAGAUUAGGUAGUUGGUGGGGUAAAAGCCUACCAAGCCGACGAUCUGUAGCUGGUCUGAGAGGACGACCAGCCACACUGGGACUGAGACACGGCCCAGACUCCUACGGGAGGCAGCAGUGGGGAAUUUUGGACAAUGGGCGCAAGCCUGAUCCAGCCAUGCCGCGUGCGGGAAGAAGGCCUUCGGGUUGUAAACCGCUUUUGUCAGGGAAGAAAUCUUCUGGGUUAAUACCUCGGGAGGAUGACGGUACCUGAAGAAUAAGCACCGGCUAACUACGUGCCAGCCGCCGCAGUAA